CCUGUCUGCAAGUGAAUGCUGAUGUCAGUUCUGAGGAGGAGGAAGCAAGUCAUGGCCAGUGGGAAGUCUGGGUGAUUGCUGGGAACACUGGAGGGGCUGGGACUAACAGUCUCAGGCACACACUUCAGCAUGACCUCAUGAAGGCCUGACUACCUGCCAGGCUAGGACCUGAGGCUGCAGGAAAGGCAUAAUCUCAGGGGCAGAUCCACCCUUGCAAACUGCUGCCAUUGACCAAAGUCCAGACGGGGUGUUGUCCUGCAGCCUGACCAAUGGCUACACACCCAAAAGACGUGCAGGCUGAGUCACCAAGGAUGUCUGAACUUCGCUCAGUCUUCUUGCACACACAGUUGUGAGGUCUGUGUUCAGACUGCAGGGCAGUUGACAAAAAGUGCCGUGGCACUGUGGGAGCCAGUAGGGCCUCCAGGGGGUGGAGACCCAUCCCACAACCACACAGCCUGCAAGUAGGCCAGGGCUUUGCUGUCUGUCGCCCGCACAGAGCCGUCUACGCAUCACUCUGUGAUUAAGAAAGGAGCCAGGUGGGUGGUGCACACCUGAAAACCCAACUACCCAGGAAGCUGAGGCAGGAAGAUGCAAGUUCCAGGCCAGGAAGACCAGGGCUCAGAUAAAAACUAAGCAGAGCUGGGUCCAGCUCAGUGGUAGAGCACCCCUGGCUCAACCCCAGGGCCACACAUAGAACAGGACAUCCAGGAACACGCCUGAACAUAACCUCCAGGAGGGGAGAGCAGUGACUGAGAGGAGAGUCGGCCUACCUCAGGCAGAAGAGCGAGGACUCCUUGGUGUGGCACGUCAGGAGGCUGUCGAGGAACCUGGGGACAGGAAGGCUGCUGGCAGGGGCAAGAGGGCCUGGCUCCACCUCCGGGAGUGCAGACCCAGGUUCACCCAGGUGGACAACCAGGGCAGCCAAGCCCAGCACAUGGGAGGCACUCAAGCGUGGGCCCUGAAAAGAGGGAUAAGUGGCAGAGCUGGUGACAGCCCCCCAGCCAGAAGGCUCCUAUGCUUGGAGGACUAGCCAGGCUGCCCAGCCCUUGGAGCAGCCCCCUGUGUGGCCUGCAUGAAGGGGGAGCCUACCUGGUGGUGGAGCAGCUGGCAGAGGCGGGUGAGGACUGCAGGGAGCAGCGUAGGUCCACACAGGGUCCUCACAAAGGCGGCUGCCCAGGGACCCUGCCUGUAGGUAACAGAGGUGAGGCCCUGGCCCCUCACAGCCCCACACACCACUCCCGCAGCUGAUCCAGGUGCAGAGGCCCACAAAGGGCCAGGUCAUUCCUCCACACAAGGGCCAAGGACAGCAAGACUUCUACAAAUCCCCACUUUUUGGAAGUCGGCCUGGACACCUGCUCCUGAAAGUCGAGCUCACUCCUGCCUGGCCUGCCAUCUUGAUGCCCCAGGACAGCCCAGGAUCACCCAAACUCCUGAGCCCUUACCUCUCUGGAGGGGCAGAGCUGGAGGCCACCAUCAGGCUCUGACAGAAAGCUGAGAGCAGGAGGUCCACCACCUGGGAGGGACAUGGCCACCAACGGCUGUAGCUCCCACCACUGGCCAUGGGAAGCAGCCUGCGCAAGCACGAGGGAGACAGCAGUGCAGCUGGUCCCGGGACCCCCACCCCUGCCGAUUCCAGGAUUCUUCCCGGACCUGGAAAUCAAUGCUGAGGAGCCGAAAAGGGUGAGCAGAGACUCAGGCCUGGGGCUACAGAAGGUGUCUGCAGCCGGGACUCACACAAACGGGCUGGCUGGCCUGGGCAGGGAGGGCCCAGGUCUUUAAAGCCUGACCCAGCUCCUGACAUGACCUACGAAGCAGCUGGUGCCACAGCCUGCACCCACCAGCUGCUCCUGCUGCUGAAGUUCUGGAGCAAGGACAUUGAGCUGAAUCCUCCCUCUGCCCUGGGGGCUGUCAUCGUCACCAUGCUCCAAGGCUGUGCUCAGUCGUUCAGAAACCACGGCCAUCUGAGCAGAUAUAACUGCAGGUAGAGAAACCAGUCAGGGAAGACAGGAAACGGGGUAGACCAGUGCUCAGGGGCUGACAUGGCCUCGCAGAAAGCUAAAAAGCCUCGGCCACCAGCUGGCCUACCCCUCGUGGAGGGCCUGGUGGCUCCCACACCCCAGCCAGGCAGUGGCAGAGACACUGAGCACAUGUGGUGUGGACAUGCUGGGCCUGCUUCCAUUGCUCCUUCUUCCUGGAUGAGCCUUCGGCUUCUGAAACCCCAGCCCCACCCUCCCACACGGCACCGGACACCCGGGGCGAGACGAAGGCCGACCACCCCACUCAAGCAUGCAAACCUGUGGCUCAGGAAGCAGCUGAGCUGACCUUUUCAGGUUCUGGCUCAAGAGCAGAACUCUUCACAGUGCCCUCCAAGGGCCAGGUCCUGGCCAGGCCUGGCAGCACAGGCCUGUGGUGUGACCACUGGGGAGACUGAGGCAGGGGCAUCACUAGAGCCCAGGUGUUUGAGUCUAGCAAGCCCAGCCUCAAAAAACACCACAAGAGCAUCCCAGGACCACCUGAGCACGGCUCUGAAAGGCUGCGUCUCCAGCCUGAGCAGGCGGCCUCAGGGAGGGGCUGCACCCCAGAGCUGCAGUGCUGCGGGGCUGUUUGUGUGACCACUGAGACUGGUCACUCUGUGUGACGGUGGGCGUGGUUUGUUCCCAGGGUGGUGGCACUGGUGGGUGGUGGUGGGGUACCCAGGGCAUCACCUCACAAGGCCUGCUGUGGCUCUCCAGGACACUACUGGGCCUCCCAGGAGACUGAGAGACUGUCACAAAAGCACAGGCCUGAUCGUCCUGGUCUCUCUGGCCUCCUGCUUGCCUGUGCCCUUCUGCACAUACAGUCAAGCCUUGGACUGCCAGCCUCCAGAACUAUGAACUAAAUAUCUCUUAUUUCUUCAAAGAUUACCCAGCGUUGGGUGUUUUGUUAUAGCAAGAGUAAGCAGCAAUAUGCUCAGGAAA